UUUUAUAUGGUUUUACCCAGUUUGAGUUAAGAGUAGUAAAUAACUUGCUCCCAGGAAAAGAACCGGCGAGAAGGCCCCUGGGGCGCUACAGCCUUCCUUACAAGGGGACAAAUCCUUCUCACUUUAACAAAUUGGUGUUUCCGCCCGUGACCUGGAAGCAAAACAACAGAGCCACCGAUGGAAAAAGCUCCACAGCCUGCGGCCGAAACAACUGAUAAGUUGUUGACGGACGCGCUUCCUUAGCAGAAAAGCGGCUCACUGAAGUUUAUAGGUAAAAAGUUUAAAGCCCAGAGGGAUCUCACGUAAGACGUCGAGGUCUAAUUUUAUACACUGUGUGAAUGGAAGGUGUGAAAGAUGGAUGCAUGUGGACUAGAAAUUGAAUCCAGAAACACCUCGUUAAAAGCGAGUCUGGAUAAAGGGAGAAAUAUGAUCAUGGCGAGUUAUCCAUUGAAGGAUGCAGAACACCACAUUAGAAAAUUUGAUGAAUGGGUUGAAAAAA